rnacentral:rRNA from 1 species
AUUGAACGCUGGCGGAAUGCUUUACACAUGCAAGUCGAACGGCAGCACGGACUUCGGUCUGGUGGCGAGUGGCGAACGGGUGAGUAAUGUAUCGGAACGUGCCCAGUCGUGGGGGAUAACGUAGUGAAAAUUACGCUAAUACCGCAUACGAUCUAUGGAUGAAAGCGGGGGAUCGCAAGACCUCGCGCGAUUGGAGCGGCCGAUAUCAGAUUAGGUAGUUGGUGAGGUAAAGGCUCACCAAGGCGACGAUCCGUAGCGGGUCUGAGAGGAUGAUCCGCCACACUGGGACUGAGACACGGCCCAGACUCCUACGGGAGGCAGCAGUGGGGAAUUUUGGACAAUGGGGGCAACCCUGAUCCAGCCAUGCCGCGUGAGUGAAGAAGGCCUUCGGGUUGUAAAGCUCUUUCGCGAGGGAAGAAAGCGCACUGGUUAAUACCUGGUGUGGAUGACGGUACCUUGAUAAGAAGCACCGGCUAACUACGUGCCAGCCGCCGCGGUAA